GCGACCCCAGGUCAGGCGG
rnacentral:ncRNA from 52 species